GAUGAACGCUGGCGGCGUGCCUAACACAUGCAAGUCGAGCGAAGCGGGGAUGGGUGAGUAACACGUCGAUAACCUCCUAUAAGACUGGGAUAACCUCGGGAAACCGGAGCCAAACCCGACACUUUUAGAUGGUUCCGCGCUGCAUUAGCUAGUUGGUAAGGUAACGGCUUACCAAGGCGACGAUGCAUAGCCGACCUGAGAGGAUGAUCGGCCACACUGGAACUGAGACACGGUCCAGACUCCUACGGGAGGCAGCAGUAGGGAAUCUUCCGCAAUGGGCGAAAGCCUGACGCAGCAACGCCGCGUGAGUGAAGAAGGUCUUCGGAUCGUAAAACUCUGUUAUUAGGGAGGCGGUACCUACUCAGAAAGCCACGGCUAACUACGUGCCAGCAGCCGCGGUAAUUC
rnacentral:rRNA from 1 species